GGCGAAUCACAGAGCGGAUCUCUCUUCCCCCGCCCCCCAAAGGACCUCUCUGAGGUGUCCGCGUAGGCCGGGCUGUUGUAGAACGAGACACCGCUGCGACAAGGGGCGGCUGGCGGCAAGCAUCUCCGUGAGCCGCCCCGCCGAGGCGAGCGCUGAUUGGCGUUUACUGAGGCCCCCAGCAGAAAAACAGCCCGAAGGUGGGCGGUGGGAGAACUGCAAUUCCCGACAGGCCGCGCGGGGCGGGGCGCGGGGGCCGCUGGGAGCUGUAGUUCCGGGCGGGAGGCUCCUGCCGUGCGGCGGGCGCGUGGAGCCGGCGGCCAUUUUGCUGCGGGAUCCAGUGAGCCCGAGGGAACUGCGGGUGUCGGGCUUCGGCGCUGGCAGCUCGCGGGUGUGCGGGCACAGAGAGUGCCAGAGAAAUGUUCAGAGUUUUUAAAUGAUUUAUUCAUUAAAUAAAGAGUAAGGGCGGACCCACCGGUGUGAUGGCGACGGGUUUCCCCAGUGUUGACCUUUCUGAGGUGAUGUUCAGGGGGGAAGAGCCCUGACGCACGGAGGUGGAUGAGUCACGGCGCUGUGCUGGAAAUGAACGUGUGUCAGUGCCCUGAGCGCCGGCGGCAGCCCUGCCCUGCCCUGCCCCCAGUGCCUGCUCCACAGCUGCUCCCGGGUGCAGGAGCACAGCCCACCUGGAGCUGGGUGCUGGCGAGGCGGAAAGCUCACAAGAGUUGCCCUGUCUGCCCUUGGUGGUUUUUGCCCUGAAAUUGUUGGGUUUUCACAAAUAUUUGGCAUCCUCGGUGCUUCUGAGAGCUCUGAGUACCAACGACAGCAAACAGACCUCAGGCCCUGCCUGGAAACUUAGGGGAGAGCAGAAGAUCCAGCUUGCUAAGCCAAAGAAGAGAUUGCAGUGCUGUGCUUUCUGUGGUGAGGUUCCUAUGUAGGCACAGAGGUAUUUUCUUUAGAAGGAACACUUUCUCAGCCACACUACCCAUAGCAGGAGGGCCACCCACCUGCCACCUCCCUCCCAGGGCCACCCUAUGGUGCAGCUCUCCAGCCUGCCAAGUCCCAUGCCACAGUUCUGACCAUGGUUUCGUGCUGCCUGCCCUUCUGUACAGUCAUACCUUCCUGCAGAGACAGGAGAUAACACAGUGGAUGACCUCACUGGUGCUACUUGCAGCAAAACUACUCAGCCUCCUCCUGCAAAGGGCAAGAUGGCAGGAGAACAGCGCUCACCUUCAGGACAUGCUGCCAGGUCAGACAGUGGCAUUUCUAGGAGGAGGGCAGCCCUUUGUUAUAAUGCCCCUUCGGAAAUGUGUAUCAAGCUCCAAGUUCUUCCUUUGGGUAAAACCAAUCUGCAGUCCUCCAGCUGAGCCCCAGUGAGGUGCCUUGGCGGUGGGAAUUUCCUCAAAACUUCAGUAACAGCACACAUUGUACCCACAGAUAUUUUAACUGUGCCAUGAGUGCCCAAAACCAUCCUGAAAGGGCUGUGGAGAGGUGGUGACAUGUGAGCCUUGGCCACAGCUGCCUCCUUUAGGUCCCUCCGUGGCAGGGACUUUUGAUCGCUGAGGGAAAAGCUUUGAAGCCACAUCUGCUCAGCCCAUGUAGCUGUUCUGGGCUGGCACAGCUCCCACAUGCGUUAUGGUCCACUUAUCAGCAGGAGAUUAAUCACAUGCAGCUUAGACCAAACACAGUUAAAGAGCAGUCAGGGAGGACAGAUCAUUUCAGGAAAUCAUGACAGUGAGUGAGCAGGAUCCUGGAGAAAAGCUUUCUCGAGUCACUCCCCACGAGGUACAGUGUAUACCUGAAGACCUUCGGUGUCAUCAGCCAGGCAGAGGCUGCAGGUCAUCAGCCCUGACAUACCAGCAUGGCUCAGCACUCACUAAGCUUGCAUCUCAAACAACGAUAAGAUGAGGAAUGUAAUGGUAAAAAACAAGGCAGAUUACCCAAUCUCCCUACUGGAGCCUAUAAUUAACUGUGAGAACAAUGUACAUAGGUGAUCUAGGAGCAAAUAUUUGCUUGGGAGUCUUAAAAAGUGCUGUAGAGGUUGAGCAGUGCCCACAGCCGUAUUUUCCCUUCCCAUCAUCUCAGUUGCUUUUGCUGGAAGUGGGUGGCUGGAAGGAUUGCUUCAGCUGCAUCAUGCCCAGUGCUUGGUGGCUGUCCCUUCUCUCACACAGAGAAGACCAUAAGGAGAGAGGGUAGUGAGGGUAGUGCCAAGAACCAGGCUGCCACGCUGAGAUGAAGCUCUCAGCUGGGGCUGUUGUGUUUCAGCAAUUCCGAGUGUUUGUUUGCUGAAAAUGCUAAGCCUGAUCUCUGAUUUAGCAUAGAAUAUCCACACCUUCUCUUCUCAAAGGUAUCUUUUUUCUCCCCAAGUGUUUUUCCUUUCUAAUGUGUGAUUUAAUUUGCACAAGGCUCCUUCCUUUUCUGAUUAUUAAUUUUGGCUCCUUACCGGUUAAAAUAAAACAAAUCUCUCCUAAGCCUGUUCUGACAACGCAACUUUUGUCUGAGUUUUCCUUCCAGAUGCAAUUUCCUGUUUAAUUUCCUGACCGUUUCUUACUUAGUAAAGGAAGAGCUAUAAAUUUCAAGAUUGCUUCAGAUAACUUCCUCUAACUUCAACUGAACCGUUCCCCCUGUCAGGGGAGAAUCCAGCAAAACAGUAUAAAACUUUUAAAAGCAAUCCUGAAAUAUCUGAGAAGCCAAAACCUUCCAGGGCUCACAAUGAGGGGGAAUGAACUGUGCAAGAAGUGGGAUUGGAAUCUUUUUCCUUGUAGAGCUAAAGAGAAGAAACUCUGCCUCCAGCACAGCUGAUAAUUGCUGUUUCACCCUGAGAUACAGGGCUUUUGUUAGGGAGAUGUCACCAUGGCACGGCGCCCCGUAGGUACCAGUGGCACUGGUUCUGUGUUCUGAUAUGAUCCCAAAUGUGCAUGCAUGCUGAUUUCCCAUAGCUGUCCUCUGUGUUGCUUCAAGCUUGCAGAAUGGCACACUGUGCUGCUGGGCUGCCAGACUCCUGGAUGUGAGACAGCGGUCACGGUGACCCUGAUUAAAUGGCAGAUAUGGCAGGGUAGGGUCACCAAGAGGCACAUUCAGUGCAGAGCCUUGUUAUGUUUGCUUAAUGCAGGGCAGCACUGAGCACUGCUGGAUAUCACCAGUUUCAUCUCCUCAGCCCCUGCAUCAUCCACAGGGACCCUGCCUGACCACCAUGACUUGAGACCAGUGGCUUUCAGGGGUGGUCCCAUUUGAUCCUAAAGGAUGCUCACAGGUUGUUACCCCGAGAUGGGGCAGUGAGCCAUUCUCUCGCUCUGAACACAAACCUCUCCCCACAGUUACAUUUGUCCCCAAGCAGCCCCCCACGUCUGCAUGCUUUUGUGCUGUUUCUGCUUUGCAGAAAAGAGAUGACCCUCAUCUGGGUGUGCGGCCACACUGAGGGUGGUGAGACGCUCUCCCAGGCAGAUGGGGAGGGGAACUGCAAUCAGCGAUGUUUGGCAGGGACUGCAUGACCCUGUGUGGGAGACUGACUGCUUUCAUCUCUGGCCAGCCAGCCCUGAUCUAGAGCCUUGAUGUCUGGCACAGGUAGACUAUGGCAUGGCCCCACAGCUCCUAAAGCCCUGAUGCACAUGUGCUUGGGGCAGGUGAGGGGCAGAGGUAAUGCCAGGGGGUCCAGAGAGGCCUCCACAUGCUGCUGUAUCCCAGCACAGUCAAAGCAGAUGAGUGACCAGUGUGACACAUCCUGGGCUCCUGCCAUUGCCCUGGCAAUCUCCCAUUUGCAACCCAGUCAAGGGCACAUCCCUGGCCCUGCAGGCCUGGGUGACUCCAGUGCAGAGGCUGCUGCUCUGUGCCAUCCAGCUGAUGGAGCCACCCUCUGUGCCCAUCUGGGAAAAGAGAAACCAAAUCUCAUCACAGAAACUGAGGUGUAGGCCUAUUUUUUUGUCUCUAUUUCUGGGAGGACAGCAUGGCCUGAAGCUGCCCACAGCAAGCUGAGGGGUCAGGGGAGCACCCAGCACCACAACAUGGUGUUGGUUUCCCUUCCAUGCUCUAAUGCAAAUCAAGGUCAAAGCAAAGCAAAGGUCUGCAAAACAGCAGAGUGGCACAUCUGUCACUUUGACAAGGCAGAACCAAACCUGUGAGCACCCCAGGGCUGGGGCCAUCCCCAACAGCUCCUUAGCAGUGGCACAAGAAACACAUAAGAUGUAAGCCAGACAGGAGCAAGGCUGUCAGAAUGCACAUUUUGUUGAGAAUUGUGCCUGCACGGCCCAUGGACUGGGCAGAGCCAGUGGCACCUUGCCUACAACUGCUUUCAGCUUGCAUUUCUGAAACAGCCCCAUCUGUGCUUCCUACAAAAGAUGACUUGUUUGCAUACUCACUCCGUUUUGUCCAGUCUCCUCUGGUCUAUUUCUGGCUUUCUUUGUACUUAUGCAGCCAAAGAACAAAAACUUCCCCUGGGCAGACAGUAAGAACCUUGCGGGGAGGCACCGUGUCCCUUCACACUGCUCUCGCUGUGUCUCAGAGCCAUUGGGAGGAACCAGCUGCUGGAUGAGACUGCAGCUGGCAAGCACCCCCAAACAGUGUGUGUCUGCUUUCCUCCCUCCAGGGGGUGAUUUUUGGUGAGUUUCACCACUUAUAGCUCUCCAUGUGUUGUCACCAAUCAUGGCAGAGCUGGAUCAGCACCUCAAAUCCCAUCCCCAUGCUUCAACUUCAGGGCAAAACAAAGGGGAACACAGUCAGAAACAACCCCAAAAAGGCUUUACCAGGAGCCCCAGCCCUGCUCUGCCUGGGAUUGGGAACCUGAGCCCCCCUUGCUCCCACACCUCUGUUUUUUUUCACUCCCAACCUCAGUGAUUACCCCCACACUGCUCCUGCAGACAGGUUUAUCCUCACACCCUGAGGUCUGUUUCCUCCCUGUGUGCUAUGGAUGUGCCACGUACAGUGUGGGUUGAGCUGAGGUUACCUGGGCAGCUGACACUUGGCCUCCUCCCACACGGCGCUGCCCAACCUGCAGCUGGCAGGGCACAUCCUUGACAUCAUUCUUGGAGGCAGUUUCCUAGGGACUUAAAAA